AACGAACGCUGGCGGCAUGCCUAACACAUGCAAGUCGAACGAUGCCUUCGGGCAUAGUGGCGCACGGGUGCGUAACGCGUGGGAAUCUGCCCUUGGCUUCGGAAUAACAGUUAGAAAUGACUGCUAAUACCGGAUGAUGUCCCCCUGAGAGAUCUUGGGGACCAAAGAUUUAUCGGCCAGGGAUGAGCCCGCGUAGGAUUAGGUAGUUGGUGGGGUAAAGGCCUACCAAGCCGACGAUCCUUAGCUGGUCUGAGAGGAUGAUCAGCCACACUGGGACUGAGACACGGCCCAGACUCCUACGGGAGGCAGCAGUGGGGAAUAUUGGACAAUGGGGGGAACCCUGAUCCAGCAAUGCCGCGUGAGUGAUGAAGGCCUUAGGGUUGUAAAGCUCUUUUACCAGGGAUGAUAAUGACAGUACCUGGAGAAUAAGCUCCGGCUAACUCCGUGCCAGCCGCCGCCGUAA
rnacentral:rRNA from 1 species